CACAUGCAAGUCGAACGAUGAUCCGGUGCUUGCAUCGGGGAUUAGUGGCGAACGGGUGAGUAACACGUGAGUAACCUGCCCUUGACUCUGGGAUAAGCCUGGGAAACUGGGUCUAAUACCGGAUAUGACCAUCUGACGCAUGUCAUGGUGGUGGAAAGCUUUUGUGGUUUUGGAUGGACUCGCGGCCUAUCAUCUUGUUGGUGGGGUAAUGGCCUACCAAGGCGACGACGGGUAGCCGGCCUGAGAGGGUGACCGGCCACACUGGGACUGAGACACGGCCCAGACUCCUACGGGAGGCAGCAGUGGGGAAUAUUGCACAAUGGGCGCAAGCCUGAUGCAGCGACGCCGCGUGAGGGAUGACGGCCUUCGGGUUGUAAACCUCUUUCAGUAGGGAAGAAGCGAAAGUGACGGUACCUGCAGAAGAAG
rnacentral:rRNA from 1 species